rnacentral:tRNA from 1 species
GCAGUGGUGGUUCAGUGGUAGAAUUUACGUCUCUGAUGCAGGAGAACCCGGGUUCCAUUCCUGGCCUGUGUA